UUUAUAGGCUGCGGACAUAACAAGGCUGGUAUCUGAUGUAAGUGUCUCCGUGGCUGAAGAAGCACUAGAGCAACUCAAGAACCGGGUUACUUCACUGGAAAGAGAGUUGCAGGAUGCCAAAUUCAAGAAUAGAAUUACCAAUGAAAGAAUUCGAUUGUCCGAGCUCAUGCCACAAACCUCACCGUAUAGCUCAAGAGCAGACGAGAACUGUCAAACUCCAAAUAGAGUUUCUCAGACUCCAUUUCUUUCUGUUUUGGAUAGAUAAUGCUGAUUUACAGAUUCAUUUCAGAGAAGAGAUCAAGAUGAAUGGGUUAGCCUUUUGCUAGCAGUUGCAAUUUUUUUUUUUAAAAAAAAAUUUUGGAAAGAGAAAUAGCAGUUGCAAAUUUGCGUUCAGCUAGUGUUGUUUGGCUGUAAAUUGAUUAUUUCUUAUUUGUAUAUUUUUUUUCAUCAAAAAUAUAUAUAUUCAAUAGAAUCUGUAUUUUGCUAAUCUACACCUUGUAAAUACGGUACAGUAAAUUAUAGGGGCGAUAAGGUCUGUAAUGUUCUUGCAAUUUAGUAAUUUGAAUUUUUUUUCAUAA